ACGCUCGACACCUACGGGAGACAGCAGUCGGGAAUAUUGCGCAAUGGAGGAAACUCUGACGCAGUGACGCCGCGUAUAGGAAGAAGGUUUUCGGAUUGUAAACUAUUGUCGUUAGGGAAGAGAAAGGACAGUACCUAAGGAGGAAGCUCCGGCUAACUACGUGCCUAGCAGCCGCGGUAAUCUGAGCGGGCUGGCAAGGC
rnacentral:rRNA from 1 species